CGGCAACAGCUCAAAUUUGAAAUCUGGCUCUUGAAGAGUCUGAGUUGUAAUUUGCAGAGGGAGCUUUGGCGUUGGUAGCGGCUCAAGUUCUUUGGAACAGGACGUCACAGAGGGUGAGAAUCCCGUUUGUGGUCGCCAGCCUUCGCCGUGUAAAGCCCCUUCGAC
rnacentral:rRNA from 1 species